rnacentral:rRNA from 1 species
AGAGUUUGAUCAUAGCUCAGAUUGAACGCUGGCGACAAGCCUAACACAUGCAAGUUGUGCGAAUUUUAUAAUUAAAAAAAAAAUUAGCAGCGAACGGGUGAGUAAAAUAUAAGAAUUUGCCUUAUAGUAAAUAAUAAUAUAUAGAAAUAUAUAAUAAUAAUUUAUUAAUCCUAAUGGAUAAAGUAUGGGAUAGCCAUAUGCUAUAAGAAAAGCUUAUAUCGGAUUAGCUAGUUGUUAAAGUAAAAGUUUAACAAGGCUAUGAUCCGUAGUUGGUCUGAGAGGAUGAACAACCACAUUGGGACUGAGACACGGCCCAAACUUUUAAGAAAGGCAGCAGUGGGGGAUAUUGGACAAUGAGCGAAAGCUUGAUCCAGCUAUGUCGCGUGUGUGAAGAAGGCCUUAGGGUUGUAAAACACUUUCAAUAAAGAAAGAAGAAAUAAUUAAAUAAAAUUUUUUUAUUUUUGACGGUAUUUAUAAAAGAAGCACCGGCUAACUUCGUGCCAGCAGCCGCGGUAAUACGAGGGGUGCUAGCGUUAAUCAAAUUUACUGGGCGUAAAGGGUGUGUAGGUAGCUAAUUUAAAUUAAUUAUAAAAGCUAUUAAGAUAAACUUAAUAGAGUAAUUAAUAAUAAAUUUCUUGAGUAUAAAAGAAGUAAAUAGAAUUCUAAAAGUAGCAGUGAAAUGCUUAGAUAUUUAGAGGAAUACUAAUGGCGAAGGCAUUUUACUAUUUUAUACUGACACUAAUACACGAAAGCAUGGGGAGCAAACAGGAUUAGAUACCCUGGUAGUCUAUGCAGUAAACGAUGUCGACUAUUUAUUGAAUAACAUAUUAUUAUUAUUUAUAAAAAUUUUUAUGAAUUUAAAAUAAUAUGUAAAUUUAGUGAAAAAGCUAACGCGUUAAGUUGACCGCCUGGGGAUUACGACCGCAAGGUUAAAACUCAAAUGAAUUGACGGGGGCUCGCACAAGCGGUGGAGCAUGUGGUUUAAUUCGAUACAACACGAAAAACCUUACCUACUUUUGACAUCCAAAGAAUUUAUUAGAGAUAAUAAAGUUUUUUUAAACUUUGAGACAGGUGCUGCAUGGCUGUCGUCAGCUCGUGUUGUGAAACGUUGGGUUAAGUCCUAUAACGAGCGCAACCCUUAUCUCAUAUUAUUUAUUAAAAAUAAUGAGAAACUGCCAAUGAUAAAUUGGAGGAAGGUGAGGACGACGUCAAGUCAUCAUGGCCCUUAUAAGUAGGGCUACACACAUGCUACAAUGAGUAAAACAAAAAGUUUUUUUUGCUAAAUGGUAACAUUAUGCUAAUCUUUAAAAAAUACUCUUAGUUCGGAUUAAAAUCUGCAACUCGAUUUUAUGAAGUAGGAAUCGCUAGUAAUCGUAAAUCAGAAUGUUACGGUGAAUACGUUCUCGAGCCUUGUACACACCGCCCGUCACACCAUGGAAGUAGAUUGUAUCAUAAGCAAUUUUAUUAUUGUUACGGUAUGAUUUAUGACUGGGGUGAAGUCGUAACAAGGUAGCUGUAGGGGAACCUGUGGCUGGAUAUUUU